CUGGGGAAACCCAGGCUAAUACCGCAUACGUCCUACGGGAGAAAGGGGGCUCCGGCUCCCGCUAUGGGAUGAGCCUAUGUCGGAUUAGCUAGUUGGUGAGGUAACGGCUCACCAAGGCCACGAUCCGUAGCUGGUCUGAGAGGAUGAUCAGCCACAUCGGGACUGAGACACGGCCCGAACUCCUACGGGAGGCAGCAGUGGGGAAUAUUGGACAAUGGGCGAAAGCCUGAUCCAGCCAUGCCGCGUGUGUGAAGAAGGCCCUCGGGUUGUAAAGCACUUUCAGCGAGGAAGAACGCCUAGCGGUUAAUACCCGCUAGGAAAGACAUCACUCGCAGAAGAAACACCGGCUAACUCCGUGCCAGCAGCCGCGGUAAUACGGAGGGUGCAAGCGUUAGUCGGAAUUACUGGGCGUAAAGCGCGCGUAGGUGGCUUGAUAAGCCGGUUGUGAAAGCCCCGGGCUCAACCUGGGAACGGCAUCCGGAACUGUCAAGCUAGAGUGCAGGAGAGGAAGGUAGAAUUCCCGGUGUAGCGGUGAAAUGCGUAGAGAUCGGGAGGAAUACCAGUGGCGAAGGCGGCCUUCUGGACUGACACUGACACUGAGGUGCGAAAGCGUGGGUAGCAAACAGGAUUAGAUACCCUGGUAGUCCACGCCGUAAACGAUGUCGACCAGCCGUUGGGUGCCUAGCGCACUUUGUGGCGAAGUUAACGCGAUAAGUCGACCGCCUGGGGAGUACGGCCGCAAGGUUAAAACUCAAAUGAAUUGACGGGGGCCCGCACAAGCGGUGGAGCAUGUGGUUUAAUUCGAUGCAACGCGAAGAACCUUACCUACUCUUGACAUCCUGCGAAUUUGGUAGAGAUACCUUAGUGCCUUCGGGAACGCAGAGACAGGUGCUGCAUGGCUGUCGUCAGCUCGUGUUGUGAAAUGUUGGGUUAAGUCCCGUAACGAGCGCAACCCUUGUCCUUAUUUGCCAGCGCGUAAUGGCGGGAACUCUAAGGAGACUGCCGGUGACAAACCGGAGGAAGGUGGGGACGACGUCAAGUCAUCAUGGCCCUUACGAGUAGGGCUACACACGUGCUACAAUGGUCGGUACAAAGGGUUGCCAACUCGCGAGAGUGAGCCAAUCCCGAAAAGCCGAUCUCAGUCUGGAUCGGAGUCUGCAACUCGACUCCGUGAAGUCGGAAUCGCUAGUAAUCGUGGAUCAGAAUGCCACGGUGAAUACGUUCCCGGGCCUUGUACAC
rnacentral:rRNA from 1 species